AGAAAUGAUCAGGAAAACAACCCAUCUCCAAACAUGAUCCAUGGAAUGACAUCAGUCAUUCCUGAUUUCUUCUUUCUCUUUUUGGCAGUGGGAAUAAUCUAAGACUAGAUUUUGACAAGAUUUCAGCAUCAUUUGGUCAAUGAGGACAAAGGAAGAAUUUUGAAGUUUUUCUUUUCUAAUUGUUAAAAAUUUCAAAUGAUGCCACCAAUGGCAACUGUCAAGAUACAGGUAUGCAGUGGAUGAAUGAUAUUGAGAAAAAGUCAGAACACUUUAGGAACAGAGGUUUAGAGCCUGAAUAAAGAUCUCUUCCUUAAUUGACAUCAUUACAUCAUCCAUCACCCAAAAGCAACAGGAAUUAUUGGCUCUGAGUGACAAAGGUGGUUCACUGAGGACUCUGAAGUUUUAUGACAGUUUCAUCAAUACCUUAAAGCUUGAGGUUAUGGAUGAGGUCCUGCACCAGGGUGGUGGCUUUGUGGAUUGAGAAAAUAAGACAUAUAUGACAAGACUUGGCAACAUACUUCCUAUAUGGGGUUUUAGACAUCUAAUCCAAAAGAACAUUCAUGAUACAAGACUAGAACUCAAGAGUUCCUAGGACUGGAUAUAAGAGAUCUAAUAAUCAUCUUCAUAGACAAGGCAAUUGAAUCCAUGUGAACAGAUGAAAUCACCAACUGAGACAAGAUAGAGUGUCUGGAGAAGAAAUGGAAUCUUAAAAAUUAAGAAUUUAAAGGAACCUCAAAAUGAGCUAGUACAAAGGUUCUUAACCUGGAGUCCAUAAAAUUAAAAAAAAUUCUUAUGAUAAUAUUUUAAUGUAAUUGUCCUUUGUAGUCACAUGUAUUUCAUUUUAUGCAUUCCAAAACAUUAUUCUAAGUAGCUCAUACUUCCCCAGAUUGAUAAAAGAGAUCCAUGACACAAAAAUUUAAGAAUCCCUGAUCAUCCAAGAUACCUCUAACCAUUUAGAGAAAUUAGCCAGCAAAACAUGUCAAGGUUUUUAUCAAUUAAAGCAGAAAUUUUCAAAGUGUGGAUAUGCCUUAUUUUUUGAAAGGAAACAAAAUACUCUGGGACUACCAAGAAGUGUGUGCAUGCAUAUACAUGCAUAUGUGUAGUGAAGCAAUAGCCAAAAUUAUUUGAUAUCUUUUGUUACAGUUCUCAAACCAACAUAUGUACCCCUUUCAAUAAAAAUUUGAAAUCAAACAAAAGCAAAAUUAUAGUGAUAAGUUUACUCCCAUUGACAAUAAAUGCAUUAUAGUGAUAACUUAAUAUAGCAGUAUAUGCAAAUAAAUUUAAAUUAAAACAGUUUGUGCUCGAUUCUUAACCUGAGAGCAAACUGCCAUUGUUACAAUCAGUUGGUAUAGGCUCAUAAUAUACAUGUGUUGUUGCAUAGUUUUUUGAAUGUGAACUAUGUGAUCUUGAAAUGAAAUAAUCUUUGUGUAGAAAAUAAUACCUGAUGUGUUUCUCAGUGUCAUUUAUUUUGCCAAAACAAAAACAAGAACAAAAACAAACCGUUUCAAUUUUUUUCUAAAUCUAAAUCAAAAUGUCAAGAACUGCCAGGAGCCAUCAAGACCUCGCUGUUUGAUGGUCCACGUGGAAACAAGGGACUGCAAAGCAGCCCCCAGGAAGGAUGGAAACACCCACUGAAAACCCCCCAAGUGACUUUCCUUAUUUACAUCCCCUUAUUAUUGGAAUUGCAAUGAUUAUUAUUCUUACUUAGCCCCAGGAAAAAUAGAUGAGAGCAACAUGCUUGGAGGGUUAAUACAGAUGUCCCACUCUGUUCCCACAGGACAUUACCAGGAAAGCCCACUUACAAAAUUAAACCUAAGGAUUCUUAUAUACCCACUUAGAUAGGACCCUCUUUUCUAGGCAUAAAAACUUCUGGUAAAUCUGUGCUCUGAAUUUCCUAACCUAUAUCUGGGUCAUGUUGAUUCUACACACUGAUCCUGCCCUUAGCAACAAUGUUUUGUUAUCGAUCUCCCUAGGCUUCCUAUCUGUUGUUAGGUUCCAUGGAGACAUGUAUGUUCAGAAUGAAAUUGUGUGUCGAGUAGAUGUGUGAUCAUGAGUAUAUAAAAUAAAUCCAGACUUCAGCCAAGGUGGUGCAGUUAAUCCUGUGAAACCUGUGCUGCAGGUUGAAUGCAAAA